rnacentral:rRNA from 1 species
CGCCUGUUUAUCAAAAACAUGUCUAUAUGAUUGUUAUAUAAAGUCUAGCCUGCCCACUGAUUUGUUUUAAAGGGCCGCGGUAUAUUGACCGUGCGAAGGUAGCAUAAUCAUUAGUCUUUUAAUUGGAGGCUUGUAUGAAUGGUUGGACAAAAAGUAAGCUGUCUCGGUUAUAAUAAUUGAACUUAACUUUUAAGUGAAAAGGCUUAAAUGUUUCAGGGGGACGAUAAGACCCUAUAAAGCUUGACAAUAAUUUCGUUAUAUUAUAAAUUGUUAGUAUAACUUGAUUUUAACGGGAGUUUGUUUCGUUGGGGCGACGGGAAUAUAAUAAAUAACUGUUCUUUUAACUAUAAUUACAAAAAUACUUGGUAAAUAAUUGAUCCUCUAUUAGAGAUUAAAAGAUUAAGUUACUUUAGGGAUAACAGCGUAAUCUUCUUUGAGAGUCCACAUCGACAAGAAGGUUUGCGACCUCGAUGUUGAAUUAAGGUAUCCUUAUAAUGCAGCAGUUAUAAAGGAGGGUCUGUUCGACCUUUAAAUCCUUACAUGAUCUGAGUUCAAACCGG